rnacentral:rRNA from 1 species
CCCCGUCAANGUCGNUGCAGGUNGUACUUGCUCACAACGCCCUUGUACCCCCCCUUUAAGAUGGUUCCAGGGCCCAGGGGGGGGGGGGACCCCCCCCCAAAUUGUGGGAUGGCGAGGCGGGGGCUUUGCCCCCCCCCCAUACUAUUUCAUGAUGAAAGCGGGGGACCGCAGGGCCUUGCGCUCACGGAGCGGCCGAUGGCAGAUUAGGUAGUUGGUGAGGUAAAGGCUUACCAAGCCUACGAUCUGUACCUGGUCUGAGAGGACGACCAGCCACACUGGGACUGAGACACGGCCCAGACUCCUACGGGAGGCAACAGUGGGGAAUUUUGGACAAUGGGCGAAAGCCUGAUCCAGCCAUGCCGCGUGCAGGAUGAAGGCCUUCUGGUUGUAAACUGCUUUUGUACGGAACGAAGAGCUCUGGGUUAAUACCCUGGGGUCAUGACGGUACCGUAAGAAUAAGCGCUGGCUAACUACGUGCCAGCGGCCGCGGUAAUAAUAAGGUGGCAGCGUUAAUCCGAUUUACUCGGCAUAAAGCGUUCGCAGGGUUGCUGUUGUUGAUAGAUCUGUUAUCCCCGGGCUCUCUUGGGGAACUGUGUUCGCGAUGUUAUAAGUUUAUUGAGUCGUAAGGGGAGGGAGUGAAGGGGGAUACUUUGGAACGCGUGUGAGUUCUUUGCACCUCCUUGGUCUGGUUUUUCUUUGUUCCUUCCCGCCUUUUACUGCGGUGUGCCUCUGCGUGGUGCGCAUGUCUCUUGUGGUGUUCCGAGAGCGUUACAUUUUG